UUUACUGACCCCAAACCUUUAAACAGAAAAAGCAGAAUUUCAUGUGCAAUCUGCACUGUGUCUGUAGGUCCUGUGACAGGAGCCUAUGGGAGCCCUUUUAGGUCUUCCUGACACUCAUGAAUGUAUAUGAUGUGAAUGCCUUCUGCAAACAUGUACUUUCUGUGUAGCCAACAUGAUUCUCUAUUCCCCCUCUGAUUUCUUGUGCUGAGAUGCACAGCAUUGUGUGGACAGACAAAGAAGACAGAAAUGUCUGUGAAUGUUCAUGCGUUUUUGACAAAAGACGAGGCAAAAGUGAUGUGUUGUUCUUUUUUAUUAUUUGGAAAGACAUUUCCCCAUUUUUUGUAAUUUAUAAAGGUGAUUUGACUGGUGAAGGAUAAAAAUUACAUCAAGUCUUUUAAUGUUGCACAUUAGAAACGGCUAAUGGAAUAAAGUAAAACAAAUAUUGGUUUUAGUAUCUCUUAAUCAAAUGCAAAUAGCCAGUAUUCCAGUACUGUACCGUCUAAGCAAUCAUAGACCGUAACGUUGAUAUUAAGCAACUGAUAAAACCAUGAUUGAGACAUGAAAAUGAUAUAUUGAAAGUCCACACAGCUUUGUGUGAACCUGUACAAUAUAACGUUCUACCUCAAGAACAGGGUACCUCAGUCUUUUCUCCCUUUUGCAUAUUUUGUAUACCUUAUAAAGCUCUCACACUUGGAGCAUUUUUUUAUUUUUCUAAAUAAAAGAACACGAAGAAAAAAAGAAUUAGCGCAAGGCACCAACAUUACCUGCUUGUUCUUGUGAAAGAGGUUUCAGACCUCUGCAUCAGAAACUGAUCGUUGCUUUAUGGACCGUUUGGCUCAAAUGAACUAUUGAGGUUAAUACAACUCUUGGGCAACUGAACAUUUAGGUUGACAGUACUUCGUUUCUUGCAGUUUAUGUUUGUACUGAAAUAAUCGUCUUGAACGAUACAUGUAUGUAGUGUCUAAGAAUACAGCUUAAUCGUAGUGUUCUUCAACCAGAAUAGGCACAUUUAGAAGCAAGACGGUAUCUUUAUGUUACUCUGUUGCAAAUGGCUCUGUCGUUUUAUUAUGUGUGUUUUUGGACAGUGGAUGUCAUAUCUUAACACGUCAGUUUUGAAUUUGAUUCUAACACCAUAUUUGUGUGAGGUUUAGUAUAGGGAUAAUCUACAGUUUACUGCUGAAUGUUAGUGUAAUAAUAAUAUAAUAAUAAUAAUAUUAGACACGAUUGAAUUUGAUCCUCUCAAUUUGGGUUUCUGUAGUAAAAUUUUGCUGUGUCAAACUGGAGGGAUGUUCAGCUGUCUCAAAACCAUCUCUUCUCAUAUCAUUUACAAAGAAAACGUGUACAUGAAACAUAAUCUUUGCCGUAUAACUUCUGCAGCUGUCUUUCUUUUCAUGCUCUACCAUGUUCAAAAUGUCUUUAUAGACCACUUGUACCGUAAAUACUUUUAGGUGUUGGAUAAGGCUAUGCUUUUAAUGCUGAUCUGAGAUUAACUCUUAUAAUGACAUCAUGUAAUGGAAAUGAUGCAAAUAAUAAAACUAAUUUCAGAUCGGGGCAAAA